rnacentral:rRNA from 1 species
UACGGGGGGUGCAAGCGUUGUCCGGAAUCACUGGGCGUAAAGGGCGCGUAGGUGGCGUCGUAAGUCUGUGGUGAAAGCCCGGAGCUCAACUCCGGGUCUGCCGCGGAUACUGCGAGGCUUGAGUGCUGUAGAGGGGGGUAGAAUGCCGGGUGUAGCGGUGGAAUGCGUAGAGAUCCGGAAGAACACCGGUGGCGAAGGCGGCCCGCUGGGCAACUGCUGACACUGAGGCGCGACAGCGUGGGGAGCAAACAGG